rnacentral:rRNA from 1 species
UACGAAGGGGGCUAGCGUUGUUCGGAAUAACUGGGCGUAAAGCGCACGUAGGCGGAUUGUUAAGUUAGGGGUGAAAUCCCAGGGCUCAACCCUGGAACUGCCUCUAAUACUGGCAAUCUAGAAUUCGAGAGAGGUAAGUGGAAUACCGAGUGUAGAGGUGAAAUUCGUAGAUAUUCGGUGGAACACCAGUGGCGAAGGCGACUUACUGGCUCGAUAUUGACGCUGAGGUGCGAAAGCGUGGGGAGCAAACAGG